UCUUUGUAUUUUUCUCUUGUUUACAAGUUACAAUAAAUUCAGUCUAUUAUAAAAAAGCCGAAAUUACUUUUGGUAUUAAUCCUUACAUAAGUUAAUAUACAUGAAGUGGUCCUUCAAGUAGCCGGAUAUAUAGCAAAAUAAUCAAAGUCAAGUCCAUAAGAAGUGCAUGGUGUGCCGCCAUUAAACCUGCGCCGUUCUUUGACGCGCCGAUCGUCAGUCGUUGAGAUGGAUGGUUGCUAGGGACAACGGAGACUAAAAAUAAAACAGUAGGCCUGUGGGACAACAGUGUGAAUCGGAAUCCUCGCGACGAGAUGGACGCAAGGACUACAGGAUGGCCGUGCGGUCAUUUCACACGCCUCUACCAAGUAUAGUCAUCAGGCAUUUAUAAAUCAGCAUACCAACGACGAGUUCGGGGAUUGAAACAAAGAAUGUGUUCGCAUUGAGUGAAUUGAAUAUUAUAUUCUUUAUCUACGUUUUCGGGCAGAAUAGAUUAACAUGCAAAGGGAUAAUAUAUUGUAUUCUCGUAUUGUUAAAUUGUUAUUUUAUUGAUAAUAAUUGUUAGUAAGGUGUCCUUUAUUUAUUAUACAUACAAUUUCUGAUUUUGAAA